rnacentral:rRNA from 1 species
GAAUGCUGACAUAAGUAACGAUAAAGCGGGUGAAAAGCCCGCUCGCCGGAAGACCAAGGGUUCCUGUCCAACGUUAAUCGGGGCAGGGUGAGUCGACCCCUAAGGCGAGGCCGAAAGGCGUAGUCGAUGGGAAACGGGUUAAUAUUCCCGUACUUGGUGUUACUGCGAAGGGGGGACGGAGAAGGCUAUGUUGGCCGGGCGACGGUUGUCCCGGUUUAAGCGUGUAGGUGUGUGUUCCAGGUAAAUCCGGUUCACUUUAACACUGAGGCGUGAUGACGAGGCACUACGGUGCUGAAGCAACAAAUGCCCUGCUUCCAGGAAAAGCCUCUAAGCAUCAGGUAACAUCAAAUCGUACCCCAAACCGACACAGGUGGUCAGGUAGAGAAUACCAAGGCGCUUGAGAGAACUCGGGUGAAGGAACUAGGCAAAAUGGUGCCGUAACUUCGGGAGAAGGCACGCUGACACGUAGGUGAAGUGAUUUACUCAUGGAGCUGAAGUCAGUCGAAGAUACCAGCUGGCUGCAACUGUUUAUUAAAAACACAGCACUGUGCAAACACGAAAGUGGACGUAUACGGUGUGACGCCUGCCCGGUGCCGGAAGGUUAAUUGAUGGGGUCAGCGCAAGCGAAGCUCCUGAUCGAAGCCCCGGUAAACGGCGGCCGUAACUAUAACGGUCCUAAGGUAGCGAAAUUCCUUGUCGGGUAAGUUCCGACCUGCACGAAUGGCGUAAUGAUGGCCAGGCUGUCUCCACCCGAGACUCAGUGAAAUUGAACUCGCUGUGAAGAUGCAGUGUACCCGCGGCAAGACGGAAAGACCCCGUGAACCUUUACUAUAGCUUGACACUGAACAUUGAGCCUUGAUGUGUAGGAUAGGUGGGAGGCUUUGAAGCGUGGACGCCAGUCUGCGUGGAGCCGACCUUGAAAUACCACCCUUUAAUGUUUGAUGUUCUAACGUGGACCCGUGAUCCGGGUUGCGGACAGUGUCUGGUGGGUAGUUUGACUGGGGCGGUCUCCUCCUAAAGAGUAACGGAGGAGCACGAAGGUUGGCUAAUCCUGGUCGGACAUCAGGAGGUUAGUGCAAUGGCAUAAGCCAGCUUGACUGCGAGCGUGACGGCGCGAGCAGGUGCGAAAGCAGGUCAUAGUGAUCCGGUGGUUCUGAAUGGAAGGGCCAUCGCUCAACGGAUAAAAGGUACUCCGGGGAUAACAGGCUGAUACCGCCCAAGAGUUCAUAUCGACGGCGGUGUUUGGCACCUCGAUGUCGGCUCAUCACAUCCUGGGGCUGAAGUAGGUCCCAAGGGUAUGGCUGUUCGCCAUUUAAAGUGGUACGCGAGCUGGGUUUAGAACGUCGUGAGACAGUUCGGUCCCUAUCUGCCGUGGGCGCUGGAGAACUGAGGGGGGCUGCUCCUAGUACGAGAGGACCGGAGUGGACGCAUCACUGGUGUUCGGGUUGUCAUGCCAAUGGCACUGCCCGGUAGCUAAAUGCGGAAGAGAUAAGUGCUGAAAGCAUCUAAGCACGAAACUUGCCCCGAGAUGAGUUCUCCCUGAGACUUAGAGUCUCCUGAAGGAACGUUGAAGACGACGACGUUGAUAGGCCGGGUGUGUAAGCGCAGCGAUGCGUUGAGCUAACCGGUACUAAUGAACCGUGAGG